GAUGAACGCUGGCGGCGUGCCUAAUACAUGCAAGUCGAGCGAACAGAUGAGGAGCUUGCUCCUCUGACGUUAGCGGCGGACGGGUGAGUAACACGUGGAUAACCUACCUAUAAGACUGGGAUAACUUCGGGAAACCGGAGCUAAUACCGGAUAAUAUAUUGAACCGCAUGGUUCAAUAGUGAAAGACGGUUUUGCUGUCACUUAUAGAUGGAUCCGCGCCGCAUUAGCUAGUUGGUAAGGUAACGGCUUACCAAGGCAACUAUGCGUAGCCGACCUGAGAGGGUGAUCGGCCACACUGGAACUGAGACACGGUCCAGACUCCUACGGGAGGCAGCAGUAGGGAAUCUUCCGCAAAGGGCGAAAGCCUGACGGAGCAACGCCGCGUGAGUGAUGAAGGUCUUCGGAUCGUAAAACUCUGUUAUUAGGGAAGAACAAAUGUGUAAGUAACUAUGCACGUCUUGACGGUACCUAAUCAGAAAGCCACGGCUAACUACGUG
rnacentral:rRNA from 1 species